GCUGAUGUGACGAUACGGUACAAGCUUUUAAUAGAUGCUCUCUAGAGUGUUCAAAUGACCAAAACACCUCUGCCCUAGGGUUCCUGCAGAGUGCAGACUGCCGUAGUGGCUAGUGCCUAGUGGUGAGAUAGGGGAUUCUCUUGCGUUGUUUACAGUAGCAAACGCAACUCAAUGGUAAAACCAAAAAAUAGUUGGUGCAUGUUGAUAGGCGAUCACCUUUUAUUCGGGAUCUCUGUUUGGAACCAACCUUACUACGGAAGAGGCCCGUCUUCAAUCUCGGUAAAAUAAUGGGAGCGUCCGCACUAGUACAAUAGGAUGUCGAGGUCUUGAAGCAGAACAAAGAUCAGAUAAUUUCUGAAUUGUUCAUGAGUGGAUCAGGCAGCCAGUAAGUGGAUCAGAAGACAAGAAAAGCAACACCAUGGAAUUAAGAUACAGGGACACACACACACAUAUAGCGGUUACUAUAUUACAGAGUAGCUUCAGCCUCUUGACACGCUACUAACUUGUGCCGAACAUACACGCACGGUCCAGGUACAGAAGAUAAAUCUUGAACUUGACACUAGCUUUGCUUGGGCAACACAUACGUGCCCAAGUACAAAAGAUCAUACUACUCCUGAACUAGACUGAUGCGUAGUACUACUUGCUUAGCUUGGGCACUCCAUACGUGCCCAAAUACGAAAGAUCAGUCCCUACCCCUAACUCCAUACUAACUACGUAGCGUACCGGCACUAACUUGGUACUCCUAGCGUGCCUUGCCUCUCUAGGCCGCGAAGGCGGCCGCAGCACCGGCGUUGUGCAGGAGCUGGAAGUACAUCUGAGGGUUGGCCGCAAAUGCGGCGCGCGAGAUCAGAAAUCCGGCCGCGCCGGGCGCCUUCAUCAUCCCGCCGGCAACGACAGCCGCCGGCCAAAGGAAAUAGGCGCCCACAGCGCCCAGGCCGACGAUCACCGCGGCAGCAACGACGUUGAACACCAUCUCUGAACCUACUAACUCGACUUGAAUCUGUAUAGAUCUUUUCCCAGUUUCCCUUGUGUGCGUUGUGUGGAGGCGAGUUUGCUCGAUGAAGCCGACGUACGACCACGAGCUAGCAGCGAGCCAGCGAGAAGGGUGACUUAUAUAGGGC
rnacentral:lncRNA from 1 species